GCACAAGCGGUGGAUUAUGUGGAUUAAUUCGAUGCAACGCGAAAACCUUACCUACCCUUGACAUGCUAGGAACUUGCCAGAGAUGGCUUGGUGCCCGAAAGGGAACCUAGACACAGGUGCUGCAUGGCUGUCGUCAGCUCGUGUCGUGAGAUGUUGGGUUAAGUCCCGCAACGAGCGCAACCCUUGUCAUUAAUUGCCAUCAUUCAGUUGGGCACUUUAAUGAGACUGCCGGUGACAAACCGGAGGAAGGUGGGGAUGACGUCAAGUCCUCAUGGCCCUUAUGGGUAGGGCUUCACACGUAAUACAAUGGUCGGUACAGAGGGUUGCCAACCCGCGAGGGGGAGCCAAUCCCAGAAAACCGAUCGUAGUCCGGAUUGUAGUCUGUAACCCGACUGCAUGAAGUCGGAAUCGCUAGUAAUCGCGGAUCAGCAUGUCGCGGUGAAUACGUUCCCGGGCCUU
rnacentral:rRNA from 1 species